AGGUCUUUUGUCUGAAUACAGGAUGAAAUCCUUUUUCAAGUAUCCGAUGUCCUUCAAAAGUUGGAACUGUAUUAUAGAGGAUAGAGUAAUUUGUUUGAUGUAUAUAUUCUUUCUUUAUUAACAUUUGAAAAUUUAUACUUCAGGACAAUUGGAGCCUUUGUUGGCAUCAUCAUUGGAGUCAUGAUUUGCAUAGUGAUUUUUAUAUCUGUAACUGUGGCGAUAUGUAAAGGCUGUUUAAAAUCAGAUGGUCAUCGCGGACGAAUUGUGUAUCCAACAGAUGGCGUAGCUGUUAUUCAAACAGGACAACAAUGCGGAACGGAUCCUUUCAGCAAUGGACGACCUCAAAUGAAUUCAAAUAUUGUAUAUUAUCCAGCCUAUUCCCUCAAUGCACCACCCCCACCACAACCACAGCUUCCGGUAAGCGAGCCACUUCAGCCGCCAAUUUAUGCGGAAGAUAAUAAAGAAACACAAUAAUCUCCUUAAAGCAAUAGAAACUGUUUUGCCAUGAAUACGAGCAUUGUAGAAUAAUGAGAACAUUCAAUCUUUGAUUUUUUUUUAUGAAACGAUAUAGAAUUUUCAUACAAAUGUUGUUACUAUAUCAUUAUAUAUAUAUUAAGGGUCAUCAGUUACAUCAGAUAUCAGCAUAGAAAAUAUUGCUCCUUCGAGUUAUAUUGUUAUAAAUCCUAGUUAGGGUUUCACAUGUUUUUUUUUUAAAGUGGACCUUUACAUCGAUUAAUACUUGGACUUUUCUAACAAAAGGAACAAAAAGAUAAUCUUUCAUUGAAAUUAUUUGGAAGAAUGUCGUCAGGUAAUUUGAAUGAAACUAGGAUAAAAACGGGAGAAAGUUGAUUAAAAAAAUCAUUUUAAUCUUUUUAGAAUGACCACAUGAAAAUUAUGUUUCUUUUACAUAUAACAUUUCGAAAAUAAUAAAAAUAAACGACUCAUAUACUACUCGACGUUAUCAAGAAUAAGAUAAUAAGUAUUCUAUAUACAAUGUGCGCACCUCAAAGAUUCAAAUAGUUGAAGAUAUAUUCACCAUAUUCAACAUUAUUUAGAGCCUCCUUGUUUUAUUAAAAAAAGGUAAAUAUGCUACAGUUUUAAAUAUAUUUACUUGCACUGUGAUGAAAUAAUAUAAGAUGUUAACAUCUAUGUUCAUGUGGGUAAUAAAGUUUAUAGACAGGU